GAGCCUCUUUUAUCCUGGGAAUUAUCACAUUUUAUCCUGGGAAUGAGCACCUUAAUUACAGGAAUCAGCACCUUCUAUCUUGGGAAUCAGCACCUUUAUCCCGGGAAUGAGCACCUUUAUCCUGGGAAUGAGCAUCUUAAUCACAGGAAUCAGCACCUUUAUCCCGGGAAUGAGCAGAUCCCCAGCUGGGAGUGUCCUGGAUGAGGGGGAGAGGUGGGAGCAGAGGGAGGGGAGUCCCUGCUCUUUGGCUUUUGGGAGCUUUGUGAGCUGUGGCUCGGGCUUGGUCCUCAGAGCAGAGCAUCCCCAGAGGUGCUGAUCCCACAGGGACAUUCUCCAUGGAUGUCCUGGUGGUGGCUGAUCCUACAGGGACAUUUCCCAUGGCUGUCCCAGCAGGUGCUGAUCCCACAGAGACAUUCCCCAUGGCUGAUUCCACAGGAACAUCCCCGUGGCUGUUCCUGUGGUGGCAGACCUUAGCAGGACAUCCUCCAUGGCUGUCCCAUCAGGUGCUGAUCCCACAGGGACAUUUCCCAUGGCUGAUCCUAGCAGGACAUUCCCCAUGGAUGUCCUGGCGGUGGCUGAUCUUACAAGGACAGUUCCCGUGGUGGCUGAUCCUACAAGGACAGCUCCUGUGGUGGCUGAUCCUACAAGGACAGCUCCUGUGGUGGCUGAUCCUAGUAGGACAUCCCCAUGCUGUCCCAGUGGCGGUGGCGGCGGUGGCAGGAGAGGAUCCCGUCGUUGUUGCCGGGGGGGGUGGCGAGGGGCAGGGCUGCGCUGUCGGGUGGGACUGGGGGGGUCUCUGGUGGCUUUAGUAGAGCUGGAGCUGCAGCUUCAUCCUCAGUGCCUGGCCCAGCUCCCCCGCCAAGUAGUCGAGGUGGUUGUCAGCCUCGAGUUUGUGCAGUUCCCGCCGGCGGGGCAGGCCCACGCUGACGAUCUCCAGCACGUAGGUGCCCGGCAGGAUUUUCUUGCGGCCCAGGUGCAGGAAGCUGAGCCCGUCCCUGUGGUGGAUGCGGAACAGCCCCUCCUCGUUUCCCUGGGCGAUGGCGUAGCGCACGCGGUUCUCCAGCGGCUCCAGCGCCGGCAGCAGCUCCAGGAUGUGCUCCCUGUGCGCCAGCUCCGACAGGUUCAGCGCCAUGGACAGCGGCGCCUCCACGUCCAUGCUGGCCAGGUUCACCUCGUGAUCCUGCUGGGAACAGCAAAAUUAACACACCAACAGCACAGGUUUGUGCCCAAAGAGGAGAUACAGGAGUCCUUCUGA
rnacentral:lncRNA from 1 species